rnacentral:rRNA from 1 species
UACGUAGGGUGCGAGCGUUGUCCGGAAUUAUUGGGCGUAAAGAGCUCGUAGGCGGUGUGUCGCGUCGGCCGUGAAAACCUGGGGCUCAACUCUGGGCGUGCGGUCGAUACGGGCAUCACUGGAGUUCGGCAGGGGAGACUGGAAUUCCUGGUGUAGCGGUGAAAUGCGCAGAUAUCAGGAGGAACACCGGUGGCGAAGGCGGGUCUCUGGGCCGAUACUGACGCUGAGGAGCGAAAGCAUGGGUAGCGAACAGG